AAGGCGGUGAAUAACGAUAAGGUUUCCACGAACCCUUCGACGUCAUCGGGUGCCGUGGAAACUAGUCAGUCAGACACUGUGCGACGAUUUUAACACGUCAUUAGCCAACGUUCGCGGUUUUCGAUACCCACUUCUGGUUCCCGAAGAGAGCGUCCGUCGUCAUCUCGGCAAUAAUAAUAAUAAAUAAUAAUAACGUGCCCUGUGAAGCUUUGCUCGAUGUGGGUGGAUAGGUGCGGGCGGACGUGUUGACAAGAGACUCUAUGACGCUGAGUGGUCCGAAAAUAAAUCGGCACUUUGGCACACGGGUGGCGUUCUCUGGCGCAGUCGGGCAUUUAGCCGGUGUUUACAUCGAUAAACCUCAUCGCCGCAUGCGAAGCCGCCAUUACGAAACCAUCAACUCGCCCCCGAACCGUCUUCCGCGUUUACCUAUUCCACAAGAAAUUCACAACUCGUCCCUAACCAGUUUCUUGGAACGACGUCAAAAGCGCGUUUGCACAUCGCUGCUACAACGACGAUUCGCUCUAGGAUCGAUACGCAGCUGUUUCGGGGUGAAUUUUGACUUUACGGUUUUUUCAAACCAAAGUUAUGACAGCUUCCGAUCCUGUUAUUGCCGUUUAGACUUCUUCGCUAGCGAUAAAAUCUUAGACUUCGUCUCCGUGAUCUGGUGACACCGAAAUCGGAGGCCAGAGGGUGUGCUCCGGGUUAUUUAACAUAAGGAACGCGUUAACCGGGACAGAAUUACGCCUUCCUCUGUGUGGAAGAUACCGAGAUUCGAAGGAAAGGGGGACGAUAUUAUGCAAAUCACCGGCGUUUGCCUCGCAGCAUCGGUUUUAAUUGAAGGGAUACUUCAGCCCAGGGUCAAUACCUCCGGGGCACUCUGGUUUGAAAUUAUAUUAUACACUCUUACUAAUCAACGAAACAUUUAAAAGAACAUUUGGGAGGGUUGAAAGGGGACUGGAGAUCAUCACAGUCUCUCUUGAAUUAUUCUUCUACCUUAAUCUUUGCGGGUGUAGAAGGUACAGAGGGACUGAAUACUCGGGUCUUUUGUGUAGCGAAAAUCUGGAAGUGUCAUUUCUUGGAAAAUGGUGUUCGACGUAGUUUCAUGAAAUCAUUUCGAAGCUGCGAAAUAAAACUGAAUCGAUUCACGACUGAAACAGCUUUUCUCAGUUUCACAAUCAAUCACGGUUCCAACUGUUCUUCUCACCCCAGACUACAAGAUUUUUGUAAUGAAUUUUUGAAAACGUCGAGUUUGCCAAUAGAUUCUGAUAUUCCUGUCAAGCGUUCGCAGAUUCCAUCUUCACAAACGAAGGGAAAAAAGAACGGGGCGCUCACUGAUUGAAGAAUCGUCCGGCGCAUACGUCGGGACAAGUUAUGCCUCUGCUAAUGGACUCCUAGUCGAGCAUUCUGGUCGUGGCUGUGGCUGCGACGGCGGUGAGCCGUGUCACGGGCGAUGCUUGUCGUUGAAGUAUCGUUGCUUACCCGUCACCGAGAGACACGCUAGAUCAGCGUGAGUGAGCAGCGUGUCAGAGAGUUGCGUUCUAGAAAUAUCCCUAAUCAACCUGACUAGUCACUCGAGAGUUCACGAGGCGCUGCACGAGGCUGAUUUGACCAGUGCUUGGAGUCCUCCAAGAGCGCCAUAAAUCCGAAAAACGUCUCACCAGGGUGGCUAAGCCACGAGGCCUACGGUGAUGCUUCGACAAUCACUCCGAGGCACUUCUCUGUCGGAAGGGAAGUUGAUGGAAGUCUUUGGGAAGGAGUCUUCAUCCAGAGGCAGAGUCGGAUAGAAAUGGACAGACGAGAUUAGGGUUGACCCUGACCCGGCGAAAUGUUGACACUAAACGCGGACAAGUUGAGAGCAUUCAUCGUCGACGUCGUUGUCACCGUUGUUCUGGUAACGGUGUUGGGAGGCGAUCCGGACUCCGUUCCGUUGUCUCCGGAG